rnacentral:rRNA from 1 species
GACAGAGGGUGCAAGCGUUGUUCGGAAUUACUGGGCGUAAAGCGCAUGUAGGCGGUUUGGCAUGUCAGGUGUGAAAUCCCAUGGCUUAACCAUGGAAGUGCACUUGAAACUGCCAGACUAGAGUGCAGAAGAGGAAGGUGGAAUUCCUGGUGUAGAGGUGAAAUUCGUAGAUAUCAGGAGGAACACCCGUGGCGAAGGCGGCCUUCUGGUCUGUUACUGACGCUGAGAUGCGAAAGCGUGGGGAGCAAACAGG